AAUAAUGGUUGUUCGAUAAUAAGAUUUUCCUCCUCGAGAAAUGAUUAGCAUGGUCCCUGAUCAAGGAUGACAUGCACAAAUCGAGAUCUGGUUCAAAUUUUU